CAGCAAGGGGCAGGGGCAGAGAGACACUCAUCUACUACUGAGGUCCAGAAGACAUUACCAAGACAACCAGGUAUCAUUCAGUCAGCAUAUUCCAACUAUCAGAGGUAAGUUUGCUUUUACUGAGCAUAUUCUCAGAUGUAUACAGGUGGAUUGGUGUCCAAGGGUGGACAGGUGUAUACAGGUGGACAGGAGUGGACUGGUAUACAGGCUGGACUGGUGUAGGUUGACUGUUUGCAUACAAGAGUAUAUUGGUGGACGACUGUAUAAUGUGACAUGCUAACAACACUUAAAAAAAAAUCUAAUUUGCUAGAGGAUGAUGAUCCAGUGUGUGUGUGUGUGAGAGAGAGUGUGUGUUUUAACAUACCAUGCUCUAUGCCCUUCAGUAAAGGAUGAAGAUCCAGAGUGUGUUGCUGCUGUUUUCUCUAGUGGGUGUCCUGUUAGCAAGCUCCCUCAAUGAAGAUAACUCUAAGGAAGCUCUUCCGGAGGAGGACAAUCUAAAAGGGGAAUAGGCGGCCUUGGAAAAGUUGUUUGGUGAUCUGAAAGCUGAUGGGGUUUCUCAGAAGUCUUUUGAGGAUGCAGAAGAUGAAGCAGCAUCUCUUCUGGAGGAGGACAAUCUAAAAGGUGGAAAUGCAGGCUUGGAAAAGUUGUUGGCUGCUCUGAAAGCGGGUGGGGUUUCUCCAAAGACUGCUGGGAGUGGUGAAGAUGAGGCAGCAUGUGAGCUAUCUAUAGUUGAAGUCGGAAGUUUACAUACAUCUUAGCCAAAUACAUUUAAACUCAGUUUUUCACAAUUCCUGACAUUUAAUCCUAGUACAAAUUCCCUGUCUUAGGUCAGUUGGGAUCACCACUUUAUUUUAAGAAUGUGAAAUGUCAGAAUAAUAGUAGAGAGAAUGAUUUAUUUCAGCUUUUAUUUCUUUCAUCACAUUCCCAGUGGGUCAGAAGUUCCGGGUAGCCUUCCA
rnacentral:lncRNA from 1 species